rnacentral:rRNA from 1 species
CCUACGGGAGGCAGCAGUGAGGAAUAUUGGUCAAUGGACGCAAGUCUGAACCAGCCAAGUAGCGUGCAGGAUGACGGCCCUAUGGGUUGUAAACUGCUUUUAUAUGGGGAUAAAAGGUGCCACGUGUGUCUUUUUGUAAGUACCGUAUGAAUAAGGAUCGGCUAACUCCGUGCCAGCAGCCGCGGUAAUACGGAGGAUCCGAGCGUUAUCCGGAUUUAUUGGGUUUAAAGGGUGCGUAGGCGGAUGGUUAAGUCAGAGGUGAAAGUCCGAGGCUCAACCUUGGAAUUGCAUCUGAUACUGGCAGGCUUGAGAGUAGUUGAGGUAGGCGGAAUGCGUGGUGUAGCGGUGAAAUGCUUAGAUAUCACGAAGAACUCCGAUUGCGAAGGCAGCUUAC